rnacentral:snoRNA from 1 species
CUUCACGGGCGGGAGCGCGGCCCGGGGUGAGUGUGUGUAGGUCGACUGCGUGCGGGUCGAGUGCGUUGUGGAAGGUGCUUGUGGGUUGAGAGGACGAAUGGAUGCGUGCGUGAGCGUGCAAGGCGAGCGAGUGAUGCCCCAGCCCCUCCCCUCGUCUACACCUUGAUCUUAUUUGAUCGGGUCGUGACCCCAGCCCCGCCGGGCCGCCCCGAAAUGAAAUGCUCCCCUCCUGCGAAGCCCGCCUCUCGGGGCGCUGUGCAGCGAGGCCGCGUGGGCGGCGGCGGCGCCGUGCUUCCCGAGGUCCCGAGCUGGUCCUGCGGGCGCGGUGCUCAGAAGUGAUGAAUUGAUCAGAUAGACGAGGCCGGGCCUGCCCCGGGCCGCUGAUUAUCGAGGCGAUUCUGAUCUGA